rnacentral:rRNA from 1 species
CAGUCGCCGCGGUAAUACGUAGGUCCCGAGCGUUGUCCGGAUUUAUUGGGCGUAAGGCGAGCGCAGGCGGUUAGAUAAGUCUGAAGUUAAAGGCUGUGGCUUAACCAUAGUACGCUUUGGAAACUGUUUAACUUGAGUGCAAGAGGGGAGAGUGGAAUUCCAUGUGUAGCGGUGAAAUGCGUAGAUAUAUGGAGGAACACCGGUGGCGAAAGCGGCUCUCUGGCUUGUAACUGACGCUGAGGCUCGAAAGCGUGGGGAGCAAACAGGAUUAGAUACCCCGUAGUCCCUGUCUCUUAUACAC